UUGAUCAAACGAUUGUUUAGUUGUUUUCCUUUUAGCUAAAUCAUGGGGAAAUGAAAAGAACCAGUUGGUCUUCAUGAUCCACGGAAAUAUGGAUAACACUGGAUCUUUUGAUAGAUUAAUUUCUCAUUUGCCGGACACAUUUUACUACAUUGCGUUUGAUCUUCCCGGUCACGGAAAAUCAAGUCAUUUCCCUGGCAACAUGCCGCUACACGAAAUUAACGACAUGUUCUCCGUUAACAUGGUGGUCAAUUACAUCAACAGGGAAAAGAUCAUUCUAAUCGGACAUAGCCGGGGAGGACAACUGACCAUGUUAUUUUCGCAAUUUUUCCCGGAGCAUGUUUUGCGACUAGUGCUAAUUGACGCAGUCUAUUUUUCACCUGUGUCGGUCGACUACUUUAAGCAGUGCACCACGGAGUAUUAUCAAUGUUGAUAAUACCAUAACUUUACUAGAUAAAUCCAAAACGAGUAAGCCUCCAGUGUAUUCGUUUGAUAAAGCAAAGCAUGCCGUAAUUAAUGGACGAAUGCAUGGAAAACUAAAGCCAGAGGCUGCAGAACCUUUAUUGAAAUGGUGCCUAUCGGUGAAGAUCAAUACUAAAUUACAAACGACCUAAGACUAAAAGAAAAUCAUUGUCUGUUUGCCAGUAUGGAUUUUUGUAUUUCAAUGAUAAAAGAACAUCCUGUUACCUGCCCAAUUUUAAUUAUUUUCGGAAAGGAUUCCACGCCUCUGUUGGAGUACUACAAAGAGUUUCUGAAAGAAUUAAACAAAUCGAAUCCUGUGUACCACAAUACAAGUUGACGGAAAUCAUGACGUUAUAUCAACGAUCCGGAAUUGGUAGGACCUUCAAUACAUUGUUUUUUUAGGUAAUUUGUAAAUAUGCGUACAUUAAAGUAGGGUAAUGAAAACGCUGUCAAAAUAAUCCGAUCAUUUCUAUUAAAACGAUACGAUUAAAAUGAUACGCAUUUUAGGGCAAUUUUUCGAAAGAAAAAAAUUCCCCUUAUGUGAUGGAUUUGUACGUUUGUCUGUCCGUCCGUCUGUUCCUCGUCUAACUUGAGAACGAAAAGCAAAAAAUUCCCAUACUGAAAAUCGUAUGCGAUUCUUCGUAGGUGUCGUUUUGUUCGUUUUAGGUUUUCUCACUUAUAAUUGCACAAGAGCAAUGAGACGAGGAAAACUAUCAACGUUUGCCCGGAAAACCUGGGAAUAAUCGUGAAAAUUCAUAAAUGUGUUUCCACUUUCACCAAAGAAAAUAGGAUUCCAGAUCGCUGCAAAUCUUCUUGAAAAAGGUCACCUUAAAAACCCCCAUGGAAUUUUUCAAACCUUUUUUUUUGGAAUCAGAUCGUUUUAAAUUAUUAUUAAAAUAGUCCUGAAGACUGUUUCAUGUUUUUUUACACUUUUUUUGAAACACUUUAGAAAACUUCUCCAAUUAUUAUUGAAGAUAGAGAUCCCUGAAAUCAGAAUCUCCAUAGUUCCUAUAUACCAAAACUCGUAAACAUGGGAAGAGUUCCGAAGAUGAUAAACAUUUUGAAGAUUCAAAGGUUUCUAAUGAAAAAAAAAUGAAACCGAUCACAUAGGGCGGUAGUCCAAAGAGAUAGGAAGGGGUAAAGGAAGCAAAAGAAGACGGUAGGGGAAAUGAUAAAGAGGAUAGAAAUACAUACAUACAAAAAAUAAACAGAACACCGAGAAGCACGGAUGUGGAAGAUGUGGAGGAUGUUUCAAAACUCAAAAUCAAAAGGCCCUAAAAAUGAUAAUUAACAAAAUUUUAAGAUUUUAGAGAAAGAAAAACUAAGUGUUAGUGAGGUAUACUGAAUGAUAAGAAAAGUAAAAGGAAUAGGACAUGCGUCGCGUCGGUAAAAAGAGGAAGGAACACAAACAACAAACAGUAUAUCGGAAAAAGGUAGUAGCAUUGAUUAUAUAUGGUAGUAAGAAGAAGGAAUGUGGGUGGGGAAGGAAGAGAGAGGAGGGCGGUUCGAGAAGGUAGGAGAAAUGAACGUUUCCUAAUGAAAGAAGUCUCAUUUCUGUUGAGAGUGUCUUAGGAUUAAACCUCAUUCACUGUCAAGAGCCAAACACUCGAAAGACUAAACGCUUAACGAUGGAUCUUUCAAGUUACUGUUAAAUGUAUCUGAUAGACAACCUUAGAUAUUUAGUUGUGAUGUUGAUUUUGCCCUGCAAUUUUGGAAUAAUGUUUGUUGGACAAUAAAUUAAUGUUAUACUCGUA